AUUGCCGACGGGGGUCAAAGUGUAGUAUCUGUUCUUAUCAGCUAAAUAUCUGAUACGAGUUGUAUUUGGACAAAAGAUAUUAAACUUAUUUGUGCAAGUUGGCGGGGUGCUUGAAGCCGGCUUUACCACCGCCGUGGGUCGGCCCGGUAUUGCACGAUCUUCAGGAGUUUUGGUCUACGCCCA